rnacentral:rRNA from 1 species
GACGAACGCUGGCGGCGUGCCUAACACAUGCAAGUCGAGCGGGGAGGAGGAAGCUUGCUUCCGAAUCCCAGCGGCGGACGGGUGAGUAACGCGUGAGCAACCUGCCUUUCACUGGGGGAUAACGCAUCGAAAGAUGUGCUAAUACCGCGUAAGACCACAGCAUCGCAUGGUGCAGAGGUCAAAGGAGCAAUCCGGUGAAAGAUGGGCUCGCGUCCGAUUAGCUAGUUGGUGAGAUAACAGCCCACCAAGGCGACGAUCGGUAGCCGACCUGAGAGGGUGAUCGGCCACAUUGGAACUGAGAGACGGUCCAG